ACUCCUACGGGAGGCAGCAGUGGGGAAUAUUGCACAAUGGGCGCAAGCCUGAUGCAGCCAUGCCGCGUGUGUGAAGAAGGCCUUCGGGUUGUAAAGCACUUUCAGUCGUGAGGAAGGUGGGUGUAAGUUAAUAGCUGCAUUAUUUGACGUUAGCGACAGAAGAAGCACCGGCUAACUCCGUGCCAGCAGCCGCGGUAAUACGGAGGGUGCGAGCGUUAAUCGGAAUUACUGGGCGUAAAGCGCAUGCAGGUGGUUUGUUAAGUCAGAUGUGAAAGCCCGGGGCUC
rnacentral:rRNA from 1 species